CUCUGAGCUGCUGUGCUGGGGCUGCUGCCAGACAAGGUAGACUUGUCAGGCUUCAAUCAACAUGAUUCCGGCCUAAAGGGAAAAUGUCUUUCUCCACAACCAGCUUGGACACCUCUUGUCAGCAGCAAUUUCAAAUUCACCAGUGUAACCCUUGAGGACUGUCCUACUGCUCCUGACCUGUCCUACUGAGAAAUCUCACAUGAGUGGAGCUAGAAGAAAAUGCAGAGAGGAGGAAAGCAGAGAGCAGCUGAGUUCUUACAGAUCAGCCCUACACAGCCCCAUGUCUGCCCAGGAGUGAAGAGGAGCAUGGCACCCUGUGCAGCUCUGCUCUUGAGCUUUCCUUUCCAUGAGCAAGGAGGCUUGUGAUAAAUAGGAAGCUUUGUGAGAACAGCAUGGCCCGUGAUGAAAUGGCCUGUAGUGCAUCACUCAUCAUCACAGCCUGGAUUUUAAAUGAGCUGCCAAAGAGAGAGCCUCUCACCUCCUCCCCAGUCCUUGGCUUCCAAAACAGAUAUUUUUUUUACUAUGAGUGGAACAAGGACUUGUAGCCUGAAAACUGGAAACAAAAAUGAAAGAAAAUUAAAAAGCUGAAUUUGUGUAUUUGGUAAAUCUUAAAGUGUCCAUUUUAUUGCAUAAAUAUCUGAAUAGGCAGUCUGGUCUCCAUACAACAGGUGCCAUUUGGUGUUUCUUGGGACACUUCCUUCUUUCUUUGCAUAAUGAAAGAGACAGAGCAUCUGGUUUCUCUGCUUCAUUUUAAAUGCCAGUGCUUAUUGUGUUAAUAUAUUUACAUUCCAAUUUUCUUCACAUGUAGUAAAAAGGAAAUGCUUUGAGGCUCUUCUACAUGGAAGCACAUUAAAGUGCUUGAUUUUUAGGCACCAGUAGCAGAUGUACUCAGAGCCUGGAGUUCAACCAUGGAGUGAGGAGAACAGACUUUGGGGAAUGGAAUUCCCAUCUAUGAAAGCAGUUCCUGAAUCAAUGAAGAAAUUUUCUGACUUAUUCCAUUAAAUGCAGCCAGCCUUGGCUUGUGCUGGGAGAUGGAUGAAAAUCUGUCUAUAAAAAAGUAUGGAAUGCGACCUUCCAAAUGGUCUUUGCUCUUGAGCACAGAACAGCGUUGCAGGAAUGCCAGGAUGCUGGCUAAUCCAGAAAGGCAAGUACCAGGUACAUUUUCUUCUGUAAUACUCAGGCCCUGCAAUCUUUUAAAGCAGUUGCAGCACCUUUCAAACACGCAGUGGAACCCAUCCUUAUAAGGUGGGAAAGCUCCAUGUUCUGCUGUUAGAAGAUAGGAAUGUGGGCUCGGCAAGGAUUGCUUCACGUGAGCCCUUUAUCUGAGAAACUGGCGAUAAAACUGAAGAAGUUCACGUGACACAAGAAGAAUUUCUCUCUUAUCUAAAGGAAGCUGGAGAUGUCAAGUCAGAGGUACAAUACACAGGAUGAGUUACGAGAAGGAAAUGAUGUAAAGAGGCCAGACAUUUGGAAAUCUGCCUGCUUGCCUGUGUCCUAUUUUGUGCCUUGGAGGAUUACACUGACAUGAAUACAAUAUCGAUUUUAAAAAUCAUUGACUGGAAGCUUGAAUCUGUCAGCUGAAUGACAAGAUGAAAAAAUCCAGAGUCCUUAGGACCCUCAAGUGUGCCAUCUCUAUUUUUGACCUCAUCUCUGUUUUGGCUUGUUUAUGUCUAUCUUUGACAUUGAACUGGGAGAAAGUGAGGGAGGAUUUUGAGAUAAGCCUUUCAAUCUAUCAGUUGUCAUUUCCCUCAUACAAUUUUUUUCUGAAAGUAGCACCCCCUAUGCCUCUGAAAGUACAGUGGGGGAAGAUGCUGUACUAUCAAAACAGUUCAUUUGCCUCUUACCUGACACCCACAAAGUUUGCCUGGAAGAGAUUUUUCAAUCAUUUAAACCUCGUUUUAAGAUGGCUUGUCUUUAAAAGCGAAGAGGAAAAUGUUAUUUCUUGGUAUAGAAUAUAAGCCAGGUGUUAAAUUCCAUCUAUUUCCUCCACACUCUUUCCACAGCCUAGCUAGAAACAUCUUGUCCCAUUGUAAGAGCCUGUGUGGUCCUCAGCUUCUCUUGACACGUCACUUCAGGCAGUGUCUCUCUGCAUGCUCCCUGGUUCAUCUUGCCAUCAAAACCCUCUUGCUUCCAUCCCUCAUGCCACUGUUCCUGCCUAUGUUGUGUUUUACCUCUUUACAGCCUCUCCUUCCCCAUGUUUCCUUUUGCCUGGUCUCAGUGCUUGGCUGAAAUGCUGCUUUUCAGCACAGUGUGACGGAAAGCCAGGCAUCAAUCAUCCCUUGUCCAGUCCGUGGACCCCAGAAAAAGCAGUUUCAAGGCAUAGGACUCCCGGUGAAACCAGAGGGCUCUGAGGGAAGGGCCACAGUCUCACCUGGUCCCCAGGAAGCAUGGACCCAACAGCCCAACACUCCCUGUUUGGCCAUGAUAUCUCCAAAACAAAACCCAGGUACCACAGGAAGAGGUCACCAGCAGUACUGUAGUUGUGGGGCUGUGAAGCCAUGCUAUUCAGGCAUGGCUUUUUAUCGAGAAGCCUCAUCCUUCAUGAAAAGGAUGUUUUUUUAAAGAAUAGCCCUGGGUUAUUUUUAUCAAAGACAAUGUGGCCACUAGAAGUAGCAUAACGGGGAUCAGCAUGAUUUACUUUUUUCCAGGACAAUGGCCAUUGUUCUGGUAGAGCUGAGGACAGUUUGGGCUCUUACCAAUUGCCAUUUUCAUAUAAACCAGGGCAAAAAGCAAAACAGAACCUGACUAGUCAGCUGGGCAGAGCUGCAGUGGUUUCUCUAUUGCUAGUGUAACUAAAAUGUGGUAAAAACACAAUCCAGUCUCUCAAGCCAGCAGAUAGGAUGAAAAAGAGAGUCAGUGGAAUCCUGCUUUUUUUGGCCUGAGUAGCCUGAUGAAAACUGGCCCUGCUCUGAGCUGGCAGCUGGACCUGCUGUCCUCCCAGGGCCCCUUCCAAACUGGAUUUCCUGACUGUGCUCAAGAAUGACGGACUUCUACUGGCCUGCACAAAAAUUUGACUUGAACUUCCACAAAAAGUAAAUCAGAGUGAGAUUCAAGAUCUUAAUUCUAUUUUGAAUUACAAGCCCAGGACUCAAUGUGGUUUUCUGGUUUUGUUUUUCAUCAAGCCCAGGGUAUCCCCUGGUGUGGUGCUCCCCAGCAGCCAACCCCCUGGCCUAGAGGUUCAGGGAGUGCCUCCUAUCUGGCAGUCCAUGCAUGUGCAUGUCCUCCCUGAAAGCUACACAGUGCAGUGGUAGCUCUUUCCAAGACUUCUAUCAGAGCUGGAAGGAGUGAGAGAUGUGUGUGUAGCUAUAUAUCCAAAUGCAAGGCUUGAAUUUUUCUCAGUGGGACUACGUGUAGAGUGAAUGCUGCUUCUAUUCUUAGAGGGAAGCUGGAAGGCAAGUACUGGUCCUGUUCCUUCUUCAGAGCAUCCAUCCCAGGCUAAUUUGAAAAUAGAGACCUACACUGGAAUCAGGCUGGUCUGAAUGCACCAACAGAAGAGGAUGGUACCAGUGUCAAGGGGUGCACAUACAUGCAGCUCUGGGCUGUGCUCAGGGGAAACACCCAGACCAGUAAUGACCACGGAGGGCUGGAGGUCUGGCUUGUGCAGACAGGGACCAGGGGAAAUGGACCUGCUGUCAGGAAGGAUAAGUUUGCCCCAAGGAGACUGGUACUUCUGCUGAACCAGACUGGAGAACAGUGGCAGGAAUUUUUCAUCCAUUUGCACCCACCUCUAAUUUCUUCCACCAGCACUCCAGCAGAACCGAAGUCAAUUGAUGUUUUAAAAGCCCUUGGAGCUGUUUUUUUUCUCUCAGGGUGUUUUAGAUGCAUGCAAUAGACUGUGACUAUGCUCCCAGAAACCUGUUGGAUGGGCUGGAUUUUGGAAAUAUGAAUGUUAAGUCACAGAUAAAUGAACAAAGGAGAUGAACAGGUACAAGAGAAAAUAUUGCUGUAAAUCCAAGGUGUGCCUCCUCUGUAGCUUUAUUUGGGAAUCAGGAAGAAACCAGUACUCAGUCCCAUUCAAGCUAAUGCUAGUUUUGGUAUUGGGCAUACAUAAUUUGGAUGGAGCCCAGACCCUCUUUCUCCCUCCUUUUUUAAUUGUUCUUGCCAUAAUUACCACCAUUGUUGUAUAUAGUUGUGGUUUUUUCCCUUGCAUGCAAAAGCUAUGAUGCAAAUGGGAGUCACUCCCAGAGAGUGCCCAAGGGCUGGGAUGCAACUGCCCUGAGAUGGGUCAUGCUGCAAAAUAAUAAGGGUCAGGGAUUCACUCCAAACCAGAUGCCAUUGGCAAACGUUGUGCCAUUGCUGUGCUCCAAAAGAAGCACCAGAGCCCUAAGUGUUGGUCAUGCCCCCAAAAAAAAUCUGCACAGCUGGGCUGGGACUCACUUCUCCUCCGUUGGGGUCAUACAGGAGGGGUUGGACUUUUUCUCCCCAUUUCUCUCCCUUUUCUCCCCCUCCCCAGGGGUUGGAUUUUUUCUCCCCUUGUCCUGGGCAAACAAGGAAACUGGCCCUGGACAGGAAACUCAGCAAUUGCACAGUGCUGACAAAUGUCCAGAGACUAUAAACCACAAAAGCAUGGAGAAAAUAGGGAGCCUUGUGCUCUGCACUUUGUUUCUCAUGUGUAGGGAUCUCAGGUGCCAGUCACAAAGAGACUAGAUGUCUGCAGACAAACCCUGAUAUUUACAUUUAUUUUUAGCUAAGGCAAUGUAAUUUGUGGCUAAUGUAAUGGUUUACUAAAACAGAAUCAGAAAGGAGUGCAGCUAUUUAUGUCUCUCAGCAAGACCCACACAGCCUGUUCCAGCUCUGCAGCCCCAGCCUAAGCCCCGGGCACAGAGAUGACACAAUGCUGUGAGCUCUGCUCAGCUUUUCUAUUAACAGACACUAUUUGAGCAUGUUAUAAAGUGGAAUUCCCAUCACCUUAGCCUCAUACACUCUCUGCUUUCCUCUCAUUGAAGGGAGUGCUAUGAUGCUGAACUGAACUCAGCACAAGGGAGACCUGGGUAUUUUCAAAGUCCAAAACGGAGCCUUACUUGAGUCAGGUGAUGAAGAAAUACUCAUCUUGAUUUUCUACUGUAUCAGUUGUGUACUUUUUGCUUGUCACACUGUCUGUCCUUCAAAGAAUGAUGGUUUAGGGAUUCAGGGGGAUUCAGGGGGAUGUUUGGUUACUUUCUUUGCCUUAGCAAAAAACCAUCCUUGAAUAAAGAUCCCAGAAACAUUAUUAACCCCAAAGCAGUAUGUUCCAGAAAUUAUGAGUAUGUGGAACAGAGUCUAUGCAAGCACACUAUGAAAAUUAUUUCCAAAUUUUGUCUUCUGUCCUGUCACAGGAUACUACAACAAGAUGCUGUCAGGACAGGAGUUAACCCUAACUUUUCAACCAACCCCCUCAUCAACCAAGUUGAUAUAUAUUUCUGUAGUGCUAGGGCUGAAUUUGGCACUGCCUUGGCAAUGGUUUGC